AGUAAACCAGCAGCAAGCAGAGCAGAGUCCAGCCCAAGGAGAAAAUGUUAAGGAAUUUCAGAUCACAGAACCCAAUCCUGAAUGUGACUGAUGAGUUAGCAGAAGUACUGAGUCCGACAACAUUAAGGAGCCACAGCAUCUAAGCUCUGCUACAGGUCUGCACUCAGCUUUCCCUCAACCCUGACCAGUCUCCCUGUCCCUGCCGCUGAAAAAUACCCCCACAGCGUGAUACUGCCACCACAAUGCUUCACCGCUGGGAUAGUAUUGGGCAGGUGAUGAGCAAUGCCUGGUUUCCUCCACACAUGACGCUGAGAACUGAGACCAAACAGUUCAAUCUUGGCCCUUCUUCCUGAUUGCUCCGUUUG